GAUGAAGAACGUAGCGAAAUGCGAUAAGUAGUGUGAAUUGCAGAUUUCAGUGAAUCAUCGAAUCUUUGAACGCACAUUGCGCCCUUUGGUAUUCCUUAGGGCAUGCCUGUUCGAGCGUCAUUUAAACCUUCAAGCUCAGCUUGGUGAUGGGUGACUGUCCGCUGCCUCCCCCCGGGGUGCGCCGCGGACUCGCCUCAAAACGAUUGGCGGCCGGUACGUUGGCUUCGAGCGCAGCAGAAACGCGUAACUCAAGGUCCCCGUGGCGGCUCCCAGAAGCAACCUUAUUAUUUUGACCUCGGAUCAGGUAGGGAUACCCGCUGAACUUAAGCAUAUCAAUAAGCGGAGGA
rnacentral:misc_RNA from 1 species